rnacentral:misc_RNA from 1 species
AUAUACACAGAUAUCAGUAGAGCGGCAUACCACUUCUCUUGCGCACGUGGGGCGGGAACUUCACUCUCUCUCUCGUUGUGCACAGCUCCCCUAGAGCAGAGCCUCUGAGGCACACUGCACGCGUAUACCGCUCUAGCGGACAGCGGAGUUGGUAUCGACUUUUUUUUCGCGUCUUUGCACUGUCUCGUACGAUUUCACUGACACUCGCGCGACGAAUGUCGUCUUCCAGUGCACGGCGUUCAGAAGACGCCGUGGCGCCGCCCACCCCGCCACCGGUGCACACUUCCUCCUCUCAAGCGGCAUCACGCUCACUAAGGAAAGGGCUCGACACUUCCCCCGCCACGGCAGUGGCUCCUAUGAGCCCUCUCUCUCCGUCAGAAGUGAACACCGCCUUGGCAUCGACGAAAACGCCGGCAUCAGGCGCACUCGGUGAAGUACCAGCUUCUUCAGGUGACGCUCCUGUCGCCGCCGGCAGUGCCGCCUCGCGAACUGUUGAUCCCCCCGACCUGACGUCUACGCCGAGCCCAUCCGCGAGGACACUUUUGUUGCAGCGACGGCUGGAGAAAGAUACGGAGGCACGAGCACGCCUGCAUAUCGUCUCCGAUGAGCCCUCCGCCUUGCCUGAUACAGAGAAGGCGUGCACACGCGCCAAGUCUUCUUCUUCUUCCGCGAAACCGCUGGAAAGCCCUGAUCAGACGCACGCGCGGAGGAGGCCAGCGGUGUCACCUCGCAGAGCCGUCAAUGGAGCUGCCGCUGCGGCUGCGUCCUCUGGGGCCAAGGGUGGCGGCGAGAGCGACAGCGGGACGCCCGCCACCUUAUCUGUUUGCAUGGUGAUCGGAGAGACCGCGAAACCUGCAGCAGCGAAGCCAAGUGCAGGGGCGACGUUUCCUCCCACAAACGGUGGGAAGGAUGCUGCGGCCGAGGGGACUGUCACCACGACGCCAGAAGUGCCAUCGAGCAUCAACCCGUGCGACGGGAGCGGUGCUCUUGCUACCCCUCGGAGGCGCUACAUUGCUCUUCGGCCUACAAUGUCUGUGUCGCCGCUCACCACCGCAUCGACGCGCACCCUAAGCAGCAACGAUGAUAACGAGGAGGGCAGCCCAGCCGCACCCAAAAGGAAGGUGGACAUCGCCCACACGGCAGCAACAGCAGGCAGCAAGGAGACAGAGACGUAUGGCACCCAGGGAGCAUCGACUGCGCCACGCCGCACCGACUCUGGUGGCGCCUCUGCCACAGUGGCAGCUCUUAGAGGUCGCCUUGCAGCGGCCUCUGGUCUGUCUACGACACGCACCUCUACAGGCAGCUUGAAUGCUGGCGCUUCUGCUGGUAGCACGGCUGAUGCCAAAUCGGCGGAGGCCGCUGCCCUAGCGGAGCUGCGUGAGCUCCGACAGGUGCUCAAGGACAAGGAGCGGGACCUCACUCGGCUCACACGUGACGUGGAAAAGGCUACGCAGGCCGCCGCGAAGGCGCAGAAGAAAACCGAAGAUUUGCAGGGCAAGUUGGAGAGCGAGAAGUCGGCUUUUGCGGCGCACAAGAAGGACACCCUGGCCCAGAGGCAAGAACUGCAGAGGGAGCUGCGGCAGGCCCAGGCAGCGCUGCGCUUGGCGGAGCAGGUACAGGAUAAGUUGCAGCGAGAGCUAGAAAAGCAGAAGGAGAAGCUAGCCACUGCAUCGUCGCGCGCAACGAGCGUUACCACCACCCCCGUCAUGACUCCAAGGUCUGCGGCGCCGUCCUCGGCUUCCUUCGAUGCCAUGCUGCAGGCGAAGGUGUCGAGCUUAGAGAGUGAGAAGAAGCUCAUGAAGGACACGAUUCGGCAGUUGGAAGAGAAGGUUUCUGCUGCUGCCGCUGCUGCUGGUCUUGCGAAGACAGCCGAGCAGCAGCGCGACGCUUCUGCAGCCGCAGCCGCAGAAGCAGCGGAGACGAUCGCGUCACUGAAGAAGGAGGUGCUGCAUCUUCGGCAGCAACUUUCUACGCAGGAGACGACGGUGCGUGAUCAGCGCGAAAGGUUGGGUGCGCUCCUGGAAGAGAACAAAACGCUCAAGGCACGCGAGAAAGCUGAAAGGAAGCCCGCGCGCAAGGAUGCCGCUGCAGCCACUCUGCGAACAGGUGCAGCACCGGGCAAGGGAGUGAGCGAGGAGCAGUUGCUUUCAGUGCGGUCGCCCCGCCAGGCCGUGACGCUUGCCACCCCUGAGAAGGAAGCGAUGGCGCACCUGCGGGAGGAGUUAACAGCGGCACAAACCCAGGUGGGGGAGCACAAGCGCAUGUACGAACAUGCUGAGCGCCGCAUCAAGCGGCUCGAGAUAGAGUUGGCUGCUGUCCGGCGCCGCGCUGAAACAGCAGAGGCCGCCAAGGGGAUCGCGUUGCAGGCGGCGGGCUCUCCUGCCUCUACGACAGCGGCCACUGCCAUUUUCAAGGAUACGAUAGCUUCCAUGAAAGAGCAGCUGGCGAGUGUGACAGCCGAGUGUAGUGAGCUGCGGCAGCGCGCACGGGAGCGGACCGAGGAGGCGACCACGCUACAGUCCGCACUCCAAGAAGCUGAGGAUGACCGAGAUGCAUGCGUGCGGCAGAUUCGAGAUCUGAAGUCCCGCGCUUCCGAAGCUGAAGAAAAGGCGGCGACCGCGCUGGCGGCCCAGAAAAUGGAGCUGACUGGGGCGCUGGAGAAAGUUCGGACAGAGCUGCGCUCAGUGAAGGCCGAGCUGCGCGCCGCCGCAGAUUCCGCGCAAGGGCAUCAGGAAGCAUCCAAGGCUCUUCGCAGUCAACUUGGUGGCGAGCAGCAGCGCUGUUCUGACCUGGAAAAGGAGAAGCGAGCUGCGCAGGAGGAGGCGGCCGCAAAGGCCGCCGCUGCCGACGCAUCGAGGCAGCAGGCUGAUCACUACAAGAAAAAAACAAAGCAGCUCACCAAAAAGCUGGACGAAGCCUUGCGGGAGCUUGCGGUGCUGGCAGAAGAGUACGAGCGCAUCUGCGAGGAGCGUAAGGUGGCGGCGAAGCCCGACUCUGAGAAGAACGCGAUCGCUGAGGCACGCAGGUUGAUGCGCCGACAGCCGGGCACAUAUAUAGAGCAGCACACCACAACGAGAGACACGGAAACGGUGAUUCGAGCAGUGUCUCCCUUGGAAGCGAAGCGCACCGCCAGCGUGUCCCGCAAUCUUUCCGACGCUCUCCUCUCCGCAAACAGACCGGCCCCUGUAACAGGGGCGACUUCCACCGCGUGGGCGAUUGCGGCACUGGAUCAGGAGCGGCAAGCUCGCGAGCAGCUUGAGUUGGACGUUCUGUCCCUCUACUCCAAGAUAUCCGCCAUCGAUCACCUUGAGCAAAAAUCCUGGCAUUCGGUGGAGCUAGGGGGAGCUUGUGCUGUCGCUGGUGCGUCAUCGACGAACCUGCCAGUGGGAAGCACGCAUGAUCGACCACGAGACCCUCCGCAACCGCCGUGGAUGCCUGUAGCCCUGCAACAAAGUCCCGGCACCUGUGGCGCGCCGGGGCGCGCGCGCUCGCCCCAGGCCACGCACGCGCUAGACGCUCGCUACUUUGACCCCACCAUACUCACCUGCCCGGAGAGCCCGCCUCGCUCUGCUGGAGUUGAUUCCAUCAACGUCCGCGGACAUGCCACGGCGAACUCACACCAGCACGCGGAGCCGCAGCAGCGGAGCCGAUCGUUGCCAUCUGAAGCACUUCAGCUGUCACCGGGCGCGCGCAGUAGAGGCGAUGCUCAGUCGACGUAUCGAGGGCUCUCUCCUCGGUCUAUGGUGCUGUCGACGUCUACCUCUGCAGUCCAGCCCUACCGCAGCGACAGCAGCGCGAGCGUCAUCUCAGCGCUCUCUGAGCUCCCUGCUACCUCGGUGUACUACUCCACUCGAGGUGCCGGCAGCAGCGGCAAUGGGGCGGGACUGUGUGCUACGGUGGAACUGCAAUUCAGCAGCAGUGCUGGGCGGCUUUUGCUGAGCAAACGUGGGCACCGCGUGCAGCGCCCCGUGUUUUCCGCCGCAGCGAACGAGGCUUCGGAUCUGGAUGUGUGCUGCGCCGCCAUCGGCUCGGUGAGCCACACAAUUUACGCUUCCCAUAUGUUGGCGAAGGGGCACUACCACCUCAAGCACAUCUUCCGCUUCAUCGUUCGCGUUCUCAGCGAUUGCGAAAGUGGCGGCGGCGGCGACAUCCUCAUCGGGUUUGCGGACCGCUACAUCCCGAUGGAGAGUUUCGGCGCCAAGCGAAACGCACUGCGCUACAGGGGCUGCUACUACCUCAGCCUGCGCAACGGUGGCCUCUUCUGCCCUGCUCAGGAUAUUUGUGAUGCGACGUAUGAGGGCUGGUUAGCGGCAGCGGCGGCGGCGGCAGGGCGACGCUGCGGCGGCGGGGCGGGGCCAAGGCGUGACCGGGGCGCCUCUGUAACCUUUACACACGGCGUAGAGGCUCCUCUCACGGAUGCGCGUACGACCUCCUCACCCGUGCACACACGCGCUCUGCCGAGGCCAGAGUGCGUCGCGCGGGCCGGUGACGAAAUCGCCUGCACCCUCCGCACAGAUGAGCGGUCGAUCAGCUAUUCAUGGAACGGCGUCGAGUGCGGUGUUGCGUUUACGGAGGUGUCUCUGUCGCCCUCUCUUUACCCGUGUGUCGAGGUAAAUACCUCUGGUGGCGCUUUAGAACUGCUCGGAAUCGAUUCUUGAAGCCACUGACGGUGUAGUUUUGGUACUGCACGCGCCCGUGAUUCCAUGAAGGACGUGCGUCGCCGUGCCCCCUGCUUCACGUGGCACUUGCCGCACAGCCGAACAGACGACGACCUUGCGACGCUUCCAUCUCACACCCCUUUUUUUUCUUUUUGUCUGUACCUUUACGUUGUUUCGUUAUUCGAACCCCAUCUUAG